UGCUCCCUUCGGCAGCACAUAUAUAAAAUUGGAAUGAUACAGAGAAGAUUAGCAUGGCUCCUGCACUAGGAUGACAUGCAAAUUUAUGAAGUGUUCCAUAUUUAA